GACCACUCGGCGCGCGGCGCGGAGUCAAGGCCAUACGGACAGCCGGGUCCGCUGCCGA
rnacentral:sRNA from 1 species